rnacentral:rRNA from 1 species
GAUGAACGCUGGCGGCGUGCUUAACACAUGCAAGUCGAACGGGAAACCUUUUAUUGAAGCUUCGGCAGAUUUAGCUGGUUUCUAGUGGCGGACGGGUGAGUAACGCGUGGGUAACCUGCCUUAUACAGGGGGAUAACAACCAGAAAUGGUUGCUAAUACCGCAUAAGCGCACAGGACCGCAUGGUCCGGUGUGAAAAACUCCGGUGGUAUAAGAUGGACCCGCGUUGGAUUAGCUAGUUGGCAGGGUAACGGCCUACCAAGGCGACGAUCCAUAGCCGGCCUGAGAGGGUGAACGGCCACAUUGGGACUGAGACACGGCCCAGACUCCUACGGGAGGCAGCAGUGGGGAAUAUUGCACAAUGGGGGAAACCCUGAUGCAGCGACGCCGCGUGAAGGAAGAAGUAUCUCGGUAUGUAAACUUCUAUCAGCAGGGAAGAUAGUGACGGUAC